rnacentral:rRNA from 1 species
GUGAACCUACGGGGCGCAGCAGUGGGGAAUAUUGCACAAUGGGCGCAAGCCUGAUGCAGCCAUGCCGCGUGUAUGAAGAAGGCCUUCGGGUUGUAAAGUACUUUCAGCGGGGAGGAAGGGAGUAAAGUUAAUACCUUUGCUCAUUGACGUUACCCGCAGAAGAAGCACCGGCUAACUCCGUGCCAGCAGCCGCGGUAAUACGGAGGGUGCAAGCGUUAAUCGGAAUUACUGGGCGUAAAGCGCACGCAGGCGGGUUGGUAA